CGCCUGUAAUCCCAGCACUUUGGGUGACCGAGGUGAUCACCUGAGGUCAGGUGAUCACCUGAGGUCAGGAUUUCGAGACCAGCCUGGCCAACAUGGCUAAACCACAUCUCUACUAAAAAAACAUAAAAAUUAGCCAGCCAUGUUGGUGGGCACCUGUAAUGCCAGCUACUUGGGAAGCUGAGCCAGGAGAAUUGCUUGAACCCAGGUGGCGGAGGUUGCAGUGAGUCAAGAUCGUGCCACUUCACUCCAGCGUGCGUAAGUCAGACUUUGUUUCCCCCCCAAAAAAAAGUACUACUUACGUCAACUUGUAAUGGUUUUAUUAUUCAUGUGUAAUGAAUGUAUAUUUUAAAAAUUUGUCCUGUACUAUAUCAACAUGAAAUGGUUUUAUUAUUAAUAUGUAAUGAAUAAUAUUUUAAAAUUUGUCUUAUUUUCUAAUUUUAAUAUAAUUAUUUAUAUAAAGAAAAAGGCUUAAGAGAUCUUCAAUAGAGUUAAAAAAUGUAAAGGGAUGCUAGACCCAAAAAGAUUGGGAACAUGUAGUUUAGACAUAUUCAGAGUAAGCCACGUACAACUUGCUACUUUACCUAUUUUC
rnacentral:lncRNA from 10 species